ACAGCAGUCGCCACGGUAAUACGUAGGGUGCGAGCGUUAAUCGGAAUUACUGGGCGUAAAGCGUGCGCAGGCGGUUGUGUAAGACAGGUGUGAAAUCCCCGGGCUUAACCUGGGGACUGCGCUUGUGACUGCACAGCUGGAGUAUGGCAGAGGGGGGUGGAAUUCCACGUGUAGCAGUGAAAUGCGUAGAGAUGUGGAGGAACACCGAUGGCGAAGGCAGCCCCCUGGGCCAAUACUGACGCUCAUGCACGAAAGCGUGGGGAGCAAACAGGAUUAGUACCCCUGUAGUCCCUGUCUCUUAUACA
rnacentral:rRNA from 1 species